ensembl:lncRNA
GGGAGUGUUUGUUCAUUUGGGGUUCUCUGUUAUUAACAAUUUUAGUUCUCCCUGUCUGUGAAAUGAACAAUUGACUUUGUAGUCGGUGGUGAACAACGCGGUACCAGAUGGGGGCUGGUGAGAGGGAGAGAGAGGAGCUACUGAACAAAACUCUUCCCCUGUCAAGUGAAUCAGCUGUUGAUGCCUCUGUGUUUUCGGGUUGGUGGGUGUGAGAAGGGCCUUGUUACAGUAUCAGGACCUUGAUGAGAGCCUUUCAACUACUUUUUCUUUUUUUGUACUGUCUUUUAAACAGGUUAUGCUUAAAAGAAAGUUUCUGCUGAGUGCUUUUAUGGCUUCGUUGGUAACUUCAUAGUAAAACAGCUACUGCCAGUAUCUGAUUGCCAUAUCAUCUGGAUCCAGAGAUCACUUUUACUAAAAUGUGGACUGCCAAAAUGCUUUGUAGUGCUCAAACACUCUUACUCCAGAUGAAAGAAGGCCAACUGUGUAGUUGCAUGUUUCCCAAAACGUGGGAGUUCUGGAUUGGAAUUCCAAGCUACUGCAGUUCAAGAGUGCCACAUAACAGAGUUAAAUUCCAGGUUUCUGAGGUAAAUGAUAAACAAUCUGUAGUUGAUAGAAAAAUGGCUACUAGUGCAGAAACCAAAAUAGCUGUUGGAAAAAGUCCCAGUGGAGUAUGUGAUGGAAGACAACAUUCAUUACAAGGUAUUGAACCUUUUGCCACCCUCUUCUGGGGAGUCAGCCUUCCGUGCCCCUCUGUUGGCAUCUUAAAGGUCAAGGUCUAAAUUCUUAAUUUGAAAGUUUUAUAUUGUAUGAUGUGUUUCUCUUUUUGAUUUUAAGGGGAUUAUAUGCAAAUGUUAUAGUUUGCAAAGACUCACAAUUUUCUUAAGGUUCUUAAUAGCUGGUUAGAUUAUGUACUUAUUAUUUUUCUUCUUCAACUUCAUCAAACUCUUAUAUUCACUGAAGGCUGUGAAUUGUUAUGCUAGUGCACUUUUUUGCCAUUAGAAAUGUGAAAAACCAAACAUUUUUGUGUCAGUAGUGAUUUUUGAUUCAGAUAAAUUAGUAGUUACCUUUAUGACCUUAAUUUUAGCAGUGCUGCUGAGCUAAGCAGUUUUUUUUGUGACUCUGCUUGUUUUGUCACUCUUUGGUAAUAACUUAUCCUCAGAUGUGCUGUAUGCAUCACACAUUUUAGCUCCUGUGCGCUUCAGGGUGCUUGGUCAUUUGCAUUCUAUGUAUAUUUAGAUUUUGUUUGUAAAGGUGUUUGUACUCAGUUGCUUUGGGCAUUUUCAGCUUUUGUUUACAAAUGGCAUGACAUGGAGGUGGUUGUGACAGGUUAAGGCACUGGGAUGGUACAAUGUUUAUAUAAUUACACUGCUCAGGAAACAGCCCUAUGAGAAACAGUUGUGCUAUUUCAUGUGCAUGACAAUCAGG